rnacentral:rRNA from 1 species
GGACUACUGGGGUAUCUAAUCCCGUUCGCUCCCCUGGCUUUCGCACCUCAGCGUCAGGCGCCAGCCAGGACCCUGCCUUCGCCAUCGGUGUUCCUCCGGAUCUCUACGCAUUUCACCGCUCCACCCGGAAUUCCAGGUCCCUCUCUGGCCCUCCAGUCGCGCAGUCUGUGCGACCCUUGGGCAGUUAAGCCGCCCACUGUCCCCGCACUCUUACGCGACCGCCUGCGUGCCCUUUACGCCCAGUAACUCCGGACAACGCUCGCCCCCUACGUAUUACCGCGGCUGCUGGCAC